GACGAACGCUGGCGGUGUGCUUAACACAUGCAAGUCGAACGGUAAGGCCCUUUCGGGGGUACACGAGUGGCGAACGGGUGAGUAACACGUGAGUAACCUGCCCUCAUCUCUGGGAUAACAGUCGGAAACGGUUGCUAAUACUGGAUAUGAGCCUGCAAGGCAUCUUGUGGGUUGGAAAGAUUUUUUGGUUGGGGAUGGACUCGCGGCCUAUCAGCUUGUUGGUGAGGUAGUGGCUCACCAAGGCUUCGACGGGUAGCCGGCCUGAGAGGGCGACCGGCCACAUUGGGACUGAGAUACGGCCCAAACUCCUACGGGAGGCAGCAGUGGGAAAUAUUGCACAAUGGACGGAAGUCUGAUGCAGCAACGCCGCGGGCGGGAUGACGGCCUUCGGGUUGUAAACCGCUUUCAAUUGUGACGAAGCUUUUUGUGACGGUAGCAGUAGAAGAAGCACCGGCUAACUACGUG
rnacentral:rRNA from 1 species